UUUUCAGUUUCAGUUUCCCAGAAAGGAGGUGGGCUUUUUUUUCACCCUGCUUUAAAAGCCCUUGGGCCCUUCCCAGCUGGGUGCCAGCCAACUGUGGCUGCCUGGGACACUCCAUCUUAAGUCCCUGUGCCUCUGCUGUGUGUUACUGAGUGCCUAGGCCGUGCCAGCCUGUAUUCAUCUGUACUAUGACCUGAAGAGGCAGAGGCCAUCACUGUUGGUCCGGUCUCCACCUGGGGAAACUGAGGUUGCACAGAAACAAGCUCCUACUUCCAGAAAAAGUGCUCCUGGGACUCCAGGAUACCAGGCAUCUGGACGCGGUGGUACAUGCCUGUAAUCCCAACACUUAGGCAGGAGGAUCACUCGAGCCCAGAAGAUCAAGACUAGUGUGAGCAACAAAAUCCUUCCCUGGCACCGGUUCCAGGAGGACCUCGUUCUUAGGCAGCAUCUGUGUCUCUG
rnacentral:lncRNA from 10 species